rnacentral:rRNA from 1 species
UGUCGGGCUCGGGGAGAUUGUCGGCCUUUGGUCGGAUAGUUUCUCCGGGCCUUUCUGCCUGGGAACCCUAUUCUACUUAACUGUAGGGUAGUGGGACGCAGGCCGUUUACUUUGAAAAAAUUAGAGUGUUCAAAGCAGGCCUACGCUUGAAUACAUUAGCAUGGAAUAAUGGAAUAGGACUUUGGUCUUAUUUGUUGGUUUAUGGGACCGAAGUAAUGAUUAACAGGGACAGUUGGGGCCGUUUAUAUUUCGUUGUCAGAGGUGAAAUUCUUGGAUUUACGAAAGAUAAACUUCUGCGAAAGCAUUCGGCAAGGAUGUUUUCAUUGAUCAAGAACGAAAGUUAGGGGAUCGAAGACGAUCAGAUACCGUCGUAGUCUUAACCAUAAACUAUGCCGACUAGGGAUCAGUGGAUGUCAAUUUGCGACUCCAUUGGCACCUUGUGAGAAAUCAAAGUUUUUGGGUUCCGGGGGGAGUAU